rnacentral:rRNA from 1 species
CAGUCGCCGCGGGAAUACGUAGGUGGCAAGCGUUGCCCGGAAUUAUUGGGCGUAAAGGGCUCGCAGGCGGUUUCUUAAGUCUGAUGUGAAAGCCCCCGGCUCAACCGGGGAGGGUCAUUGGAAACUGGGAAACUUGAGUGCAGAAGAGGAGAGUGGAAUUCCACGUGUAGCGGUGAAAUGCGUAGAGAUGUGGAGGAACACCAGUGGCGAAGGCGACUCUCUGGUCUGUAACUGACGCUGAGGAGCGAAAGCGUGGGGAGCGAACAGGAUUAGAUACCCCCGUAGUCCCUGUCUCUUAUAC